UAAUACGGAGGUUGCAAGCGUUGUUCGGAAUAACUGGGCGUAAAGGGAGCGCAGGCGGCUUGGUAAGUCUAAAGUGAAAUUCCAGGGCUCAACCCUGGACGUGCUUUGGAUACUGCCUGGCUUGAGUACGUGAGAGGAGAUUGGAAUUCCAGGUGUAGCGGUGAAAUGCGUAGAUAUCUGGAGGAACACCGGUGGCGAAAGCGGAUCUCUGGCACGUUACUGACGCUGAGGCUCGAAAGCAUGGGGAGCAAACGGG
rnacentral:rRNA from 1 species